UUUUUUGUAGCUCAUUUGGUAGAGCAAUAGAUUAAGGAUCUAUGUGUAGUGGGUUCGAUUCCCAUCAAAAACGCUA
rnacentral:tRNA from 1 species